rnacentral:rRNA from 1 species
GUUUCUUCGGAAAUGGAUUAGCGGCGAACGGGUGAGGAACACGUGAAGAAUCUGCCCUCCACUUUGGGACAACACCGGGAAACCGGUGCUAAUACUGAAUAUUGAAACAUAAGUGGCAUCACUGAGUUUUGAAAGAAUUUCGGUGGAGGAUGACUUCGCGGCCUAUCAGCUAGUUGGUGAGGUAAUGGCUCACCAAGGCAACGACGGGUAGCCGGCCUGAGAGGGCGACCGGCCACACUGGGACUGAGACACGGCCCAGACUCCUACGGGAGGCAGCAGUGGGGAAUAUUGGGCAAUGGAGGAAACUCUGACCCAGCGACGCCGCGUGCGGGAUGAAGGCCUUCGGGUUGUAAACCGCUUUCAGUAGGGAAGAAGCGAAAGUGACGGUACCUACAAAAGAAGCACCGGCUAACUAUGUGCCAGCAGCCGCGGUAAUACAUAGGGUGCAAGCGUUGUCCGGAAUUAUUGGGCGUAAAGAGCUCGUAGGUCGUUUGUUACGUCGGAUGUGAAAACCUGAGGCUCAACCUCAGGCCUGCAUUCGAUACGGGCAAACUAGAGUUUGGUAGGGGAGACUGGAAUUCCUGGUGUAGCGGUGGAAUGCGCAGAUAUCAGGAGGAACACCAAUGGCGAAGGCAGGUCUCUGGGCCAAUACUGACACUGAGGAGCGAAAGUCUGGGGAGCGAACAGGAUUAGAUACCCUGGUAGUCCAGACCGUAAACGGUGGGCACUAGUUGUGGGAACCUUCCACGGUUUCUGCGACGCAGC